CAGUGCUUGCUAUGCAGUUGUUCAUGAGCUCUGGCUCCGAAGGUUCAUGAGCAGCUGCAAAGGUGUUGCUGCUG
ensembl:miRNA Mir3088 microRNA 3088